rnacentral:rRNA from 1 species
UACGUAGGGUGCAAGCGUUAAUCGGAAUUACUGGGCGUAAAGCGUGCGCAGGCGGUGAUGUAAGACAGAUGUGAAAUCCCCGGGCUCAACCUGGGAACUGCAUUUGUGACUGCAUCGCUGGAGUGCGGCAGAGGGGGAUGGAAUUCCGCGUGUAGCAGUGAAAUGCGUAGAUAUGCGGAGGAACACCGAUGGCGAAGGCAAUCCCCCUGGGCCUGCACUGACGCUCAUGCACGAAAGCGUGGGGAGCAAACAGGAUUGAGAAACCC